UGUGAAGCACAGAUCGAUGCGCGAGUAGAAACUGCGAGCAGUGGCAUUCAGACGAUUGAACAGGCCGGUUGGAAUUCGCUUCACUCGAAAAGUUUGUGUGUCAACAUGGCAGAACAGCCACGAGAAAAUAACAACUCUGCGACAUACGCUAGGCAGCCGUUAUGUGCGUUACAGUGCCCGCCCAAUACAUUUCUUGAGACCAAGGCGUUUAUACGGACAUGUCCAGUUCGACUCGGCUAUUGAUCUUAAUCAAGAAUAUAUGUGGGAAACGGAAACAAGCUAGCCGAGCAAGCAGGCAGAGACCCGGAGUGGUCGUCGGUUUUAAUAACUCCACAAGAGUUAUGACGAACAGGCGGUGCCGAGAUCUCAAGAGUACCAAAUUGAGACACACACUUUUGUACACUCCCAUUUAUUAAAAACUAAAAGUGCGAAAAAACUUUGUGCGAGAUCGUGAAGGAAAAGUUGCGAAUUGCAUGAUAUUGUGAAAUUGUCUUACUGCAACGUGAAGGAAUGGAAGCAAAAUCGACUCAAAGAGAAAUCUGCGCAACAUAGCAUAUCAAAUCGGAGAGCAGCGAGUUACCGGUUCCUACCGGCACACAAUCCCUCCAACUGAGCCACCCCGGCUUACCCUAGAAGUUGUACAAAAUAACCAAAAUAUAAACAUCGGAGUUUAUUAGCCCACACAACGACCGCUCAACGAACGGCCGUUUCCACCAGCGGAGAAAUGGUUACAUGACACUUGGACAGGAAACCCCUACUCCUCCCCGGACUGGGUAAUAGGAGCACAACUCAGCAAAGAACUGACCCACUGAAGAGUAGGCAACACAGCACUUCGGAAUUUCGACCCAUAAAUUCGCCAACUGAGGAGUCUGCGACGCAGCACUUAUGGAUUAACACUUACACUUGUAGUAUUUAAGACACUGUGUAUUUCCUAUUUACUUAUCGCAUCAUAGGUCUAAUUGUGACCCGAGCUAGAAUAUAAAUCAGAUCAGUUUUUGUGACCGAA